GCCCGUAGUGUGGAACUUCAUGUUCCAUGCUAUGCACUGUAUAUUUUGAGGUCAAACACUUCAUCUUACCAGCCGUCUGGAAGUUGAGCGCUACCAUGUGACAGCCACACAUCCACAGCGGAUACGGGUCAUAGUUGGAGGAAUCCACCCGCUGGCCUUUAGGAUAGAUGCGGCUCAAAGCCUUGCGGUUAUACAACAUGAACUGAGUCAGCUUGUUUCUGGAGGGCGUCUUAUUCUCUACGAAGGAGCGGACUUCUUUGUAGGUAUAAUUAUCUUA
rnacentral:lncRNA from 1 species